GUACACACAGAGCUGGGCACAUGCAACUGCAUAUGCUCAGCUUUGAAAAUCUAGCUCUGGAAAUUUAACUAACUUGGAGAUCCGUUUAAAUUGACACUCUUCAAAAGUAACAGUAUCUGGAAACAUCUGCACCCUUCUUCUAAUAGCCUGGCUUUGUACAUGUGCAAAUACCUGAUUUGCAUGUGCAUUUAAAUUAGGCAGACAUAAAUGUAAGUGUAUUUUACUAGAAUGACCAGAUUUUCAAAGUGAAACACCAGAACACAGAUCAUACCAAUCACAGAGAGGAUAAUUUUGAGUGGGAGCAGGGGCUAAGCAAUGCUGCUAAGCUUCUUGAUUCUGUGUUGAGGCGGUGAGGUAGGUUGAGGUCUCUUUUAGAAUGGGAGGCAAAAAAACUGGGGCACUGGGACCGGCCCUCACAAGAGGGGCAUUCCUAGUUUUCAGGGACACAUGAUAUUUUUAACACAUGAAAACAUGGCCCCUAAUUUCUUUUCUUGAUUGCACUUAAGUGUUUUCAGUAAAGAUGGGCCUAAACCAGAACAUCAGUUCCAGCCUCUUUGAACUUUGGGAAAUUCUAAUCCAGAUCCAAAAUUUACAACUGGAGUCCAACGCCAGUAGUUAGGUUCUGCUUACUCCAUGAAAGCAGAUAAAUUCCAUCAACUCAGCACAGCAAAAAGGGUUGCAUGGAAAUUUUGCUGCAGAGAGUGCUGACACCUUCACAAUCCAAUGGGACACUUCAAUUCCAGUCCAGUGAAAGAGAUUAUCACCUGGAUCUUCACAAGUUACAAUGAAAUCAUCUGGGAUGCAUGAGAUGACACUCUUUGGAUUUGUUCAUCUGGUCAUUCUCAAGGAAGGACCUCAACUCUGGAAUUUACUUCUCCCUUGGUGCAACAGAAUCCAAGUUUGUUGACCCUGCAGGCAGAUUGCAAAAUGUGUCUCGUAACUCAGCCUUUCUCUGAGAUGGGAUGAACUAAGCUGUGGGUGUUCCUUUAUCAAUGGGGCAGGAACUGUCAUUGACUCUAUGUUUUUACAGUGCCUAGCAUAAUAGAAUCCAACUUGAUUGUGCCUUAUAGGCACUACGACUUUAAAAAUGUUAAAUGAUAAUAAAUACUGGCUUUGGGAGCUCUUUUUGAUGUGAGUUUUGAUGCUACGUGUAUGCUAGAUUCUCAGCUGACAUAAUCAGCCUAUCUGCAUUGAAAUCAGUGAAGCUACAUUAAUUUAAACUAGUUAGGGACUUCACCUUGUAUGUCUGGAUGACUACUCUAGU